rnacentral:rRNA from 1 species
GACGAACGCUGGCGGCGUGCUUAACACAUGCAAGUCGAACGGUGAAGCGAGUGCUUGCACUCGUGGAUCAGUGGCGAACGGGUGAGUAACACGUGAGUAACCUGCCCAUCACUCUGGGAUAAGCACUGGAAACGGUGUCUAAUACUGGAUACGACCAACCCUUGCAUGGGGUGUUGGUGGAAAGAUUUAUCGGUGAUGGAUGGACUCGCGGCCUAUCAGCUUGUUGGCGGGGUAAUGGCCCACCAAGGCGACGGCGGGUAGCCGGCCUGAGAGGGUGACCGGCCACACUGGGACUGAGACACGGCCCAGACUCCUACGGGAGGCAGCAGUGGGGAAUAUUGCACAAUGGGCGAAAGCCUGAUGCAGCGACGCCGCGUGAGGGAUGACGGCCUUCGGGUUGUAAACCUCUUUCAGCAGGGAAGAAGCGAAAGUGACGGUACCUGCAGAAGAAGCACCGGCUAACUACGUG